UACAGAGGGUGCAAGCGUUAAUCGGAAUUACUGGGCGUAAAGGGCGCGUAGGCGGCCUUCUAAGUCAUGCGUGAAAUCCCCGGGCUCAACCCGGGAACUGCGUCUGAUACUGGAGGGCUUGAAUCCGGGAGAGGGAUGUGGAAUUCCAGGUGUAGCGGUGAAAUGCGUAGAUAUCUGAAGGAACAUCAGUGGCGAAAGCGACUUCCUGGACCAAUACUGACGCUCAUGUGCGAAAGCGUGGGGAGCAAACAGG
rnacentral:rRNA from 1 species